ensembl:lncRNA
CCACCCUUCCUCUCCCCAUCCCUUCUUCCACUCUCUCCCUCCACUACUCUGCUGCAAUCCCUCCCUCCUCUUAAACAUCACAAAAUCCCCUCCUAUCCCAAUCCAGCCCUCUCUCCCUCCCUCUCCAUUUAUCUUUCCCUCCCUCUCUCUCUCCCCUUCAUCUCACCUCUAGCCACUCAGCGCUCUCUCUCCCUCUUCAGCAGCACUGCCCGCUCUCUUUCUCUUUCUACCUUUCUUUAUUUCUCUGUCUGUCUCUCUUUUUUUUCUCUCCUCCUUUCUUUGGCUCACAGAAGGUUCCCAGGCUCCUGGUCCGUCCGUCUGUCCCUCUGCCCGUCCGACGAUCCCACUGAAGCUCUAGCACCAACCGGGACACAGACUCUCACAAAGGAUCCUCUAUCCUCCUCUACUCCGCACACAGGGCUGUGUGGACUCAAGCCUCAGCGGCCAUCAAAACCCAUCAGACUCAUCCUGGACAGGCCUGGCUGCCACUCACAUUAUACUAAAGGAAACAGGAAUCCUCUUCAUACACAUAGACAAACACGCAUUGACUAGUGGAAUGCAGUCAUAUUCAGACUGUACAUGAAGGUACAAGAGUUAAAUACCAAAAGAGAAUGUCCCAUCCCUGCCCAUCUGGCACUCAAUCAAACAAUCUUAGAAUAUUUGUGUGUGGGGGGGGGGGCAAUUUCAACCAUAGGAAGCUGGUGGACAAAUAAAUGGGAGGAUAGGCUCAUUGUAAUGGUUGGAAUGGAAAAAAAAUGGAAUGGUAUCAAAAACAUUUGUUGGGAGUUGUUCCCAUGUGGUGAAUGGAUGCUGAGUUCAGAGUUGUUCAGAGUACUCCUGCCCCGCUGCUGAUAUGAGGUUUGUCUCAUAUAUUGGGUGUUAGGCUCUGAGACUACAAGGCAGCAACAGGCCAGUCAGCAGUGUGCUGCGUUGCCUACCUACUCCUUCACCCACUAAUACUACUACUCUGCAUUGGCACGCCCCCAAGCUAUCAGUCAGUCAUCCAGGAGGAGGAAAAACAUGCCCAAGCAGCAAAGGGAGAUGGAAGGAUGAAGGGAGAGAUGGAGGGAGACGGAAGGAGGAAGCAAGAGAGAUGGAGGGUGGAUGGAGGGAUGCAAUGAAGGAAGAGAGAUGGAGGGAGGAUGUACGAGAGAUGGAGGGAUGAAAGAGGAAGAGAUAGUGGGGUGAAGGGAGGAUGGAGAGAGGAAGAGCACUACGGACUUUCAUAAAUCCUUCACUGCCAGGGAAUUACCGUAAACUGGAAAGACCUUAUCGUUUAAUUUUUUUGACCCAUAAUCCCAGAUUAUGUAUGUUUAUAGGGAUCACAUGUCAUGGUGUCAUUACCAAUAAAGGCAAAUCAAACGUCCCAUCUCAAGACCCACCAAAUCAAAUCAAAUAGCAGUGGAAUAACAUAACAGGAGCACCAAAAUAUAAACAAUACUGGCAAUACCGAAACCUAUUUAAAUCCAAGUCAAGCACUGCACGACAGUGAUGGAAUGGUCUGAGUGUUAUCGGAAAUACUGUCUCUUAAAAUAAAAUGGAGUAGUUAACAUAAUAAAAAACAUCCCCACCAACACCCGUCUGUUUAAGCUAGAGAUAUCUGUUUUUUGUUGUUGUAUGGGCUGCGUCUCAAUCCACCACAUCCACCGAUGUCAGCCUUCCACAUCUACGGUGGAAAGUGGCAGAGCUACGGCUCUGUUUGUCAGACCAGGAGACGUCCCAAAAAUCGAUCCUCUCGCGAAAAUGUCUGUAGCGUCAGAACUGUUUGGC